rnacentral:snRNA from 1 species
AGAUGUGAGGGGGAACUGACAGCAGCAUCUGCUACUCCCUUGAUGCCUAGGGUUGGUUUUGUUGACUUGGCUGGCUUGACAGGUAUCUUCUUUCUCUCUUGCUGCUACAUGUGUGUCCCUCCUGAGACCAGCAGAUGAUCUUCCCCAGAAGGGGAGGACAUUUCUCCAGUCAAGGGUAAAGCAGAGACUGUACUUGCCUGCUAGAACUUCUAAAACAAACCCUGAAGAGUAGAUUACGGGUUCUAGGGUGCGCU